rnacentral:rRNA from 1 species
GAGUUUGAUCGUGGCUCAGAUUGAACGCUGGCGGCAUGCCUUACACAUGCAAGUCGAACGGCAGCAUGAUCCAGCUUGCUAGAUUGAUGGCGAGUGGCGAACGGGUGAGUAAUACAUCGGAACGUGCCCUGUAGUGGGGGAUAACUAGUCGAAAGAUUAGCUAAUACCGCAUACGACCUGAGGGUGAAAGUGGGGGACCGCAAGGCCUCAUGCUAUAGGAGCGGCCGAUGUCUGAUUAGCUAGUUGGUGGGGUAAAGGCCCACCAAGGCGACGAUCAGUAGCUGGUCUGAGAGGACGAUCAGCCACACUGGGACUGAGACACGGCCCAGACUCCUACGGGAGGCAGCAGUGGGGAAUUUUGGACAAUGGGCGAAAGCCUGAUCCAGCAAUGCCGCGUGUGUGAAGAAGGCCU